rnacentral:rRNA from 1 species
UCCAUAGGUUAAUGAGGCGAACCGGGGGAACUGAAACAUCUAAGUACCCCGAGGAAAAGAAAUCAACCGAGAUUCCCCCAGUAGCGGCGAGCGAACGGGGAGGAGCCCAGAGCCUGAAUCAGCAUGUGUGUUAGUGGAAGCGUCUGGAAAGGCGCGCGAUACAGGGUGACAGCCCCGUACACAAAAGCGCAUGUGCUGUGAGCUCGAUGAGUAGGGCGGGACACGUGGUAUCCUGUCUGAAUAUGGGGGGACCAUCCUCCAAGGCUAAAUACUCCUGACUGACCGAUAGUGAACCAGUACCGUGAGGGAAAGGCGAAAAGAACCCCGGCGAGGGGAGUGAAAAAGAACCUGAAACCGUGUAC